rnacentral:rRNA from 1 species
UACGAAGGGGGCUAGCGUUGCUCGGAAUCACUGGGCGUAAAGGGUGCGUAGGCGGGUCUUUUAAGUCAGGGGUGAAAUCCUGGAGCUCAACUCCAGAACUGCCUUUGAUACUGAAGAUCUUGAGUUCGGGAGAGGUGAGUGGAACUGCGAGUGUAGAGGUGAAAUUCGUAGAUAUUCGCAAGAACACCAGUGGCGAAGGCGGCUCACUGGCCCGAUACUGACGCUGAGGUGCGAAAGCGUGGGGAGCGAACAGGA